GACGAACGCUGGCGGCGUGCUUAACACAUGCAAGUCGAACGAAGUGGCGAACGGGUGAGUAACGCGUAAUCAACCUGCCCUUCAGAGGGGGUCAACAGUUGGAAACGACUGCUAAUACCUCAUACUGAAGGAGGGGAUGGCGUCGGAGUUGCUAGUUGGAGGGGUAACGGCCCACCAAGGCGAUGAUCAGUAGCCGGUCUGAGAGGGUGCACGGCCCGCUUGGGACGGGGAAACGGCCCCAAAUCCUACGGGAAGCAGCAGUUGGGAAUCUUCCGAGAUGGACGAAAGUCUGACGGAGCAACGCCGCGGGAGUGAUGACGGCCUUCGGGUUGUAAAGCUAUGUUAAUCGGGACGCGGUACCGGAAUAGAAAGCCACGGCUAACUACGUGCCAGCAGCCGCGGUAAUUC
rnacentral:rRNA from 1 species